ACCUGGCUAGCUCAGUCAGUUGAGCAUGAGAUUCUUAAUCUUGGCAUCAUGAGUUCAAGCCCCAUGUUGGGUG
rnacentral:tRNA from 1 species